rnacentral:rRNA from 1 species
AUUGAACGCUGGCGGCAGGCCUAACACAUGCAAGUCGAACGAGUGGCGGACGGGUGUGUAACGUCUGGGAAACUGCCCGAUGGAGGGGGAUAACUACUGGAAACGGUAGCUAAUACCGCAUACCAUCGGAUGUGCACAGAUGGGAUUAGCUGGAAGGUGAGGUAACGGCUCACCUAGGCGACGAGCCCCAGCUGGUCUGAGAGGAUGACCAGCAACAAUGGAACUGAUACACGGUCCAGACUCCUACGGGAGGCAGCAGUGGGGAAUAGUGCAAAAUGGGCGCAAGCCUGAUGCAGCCAUGCCGGGUGUAUGAAGAAGGCAUUCGGGUUGUAAAGUACUUUCAGCGGGGAGGCGUUACCCGCAGAAGAAGCACCGGCUAACUCCGUGCCAGCAGCCGCGGUAAUAC